rnacentral:rRNA from 1 species
UACGGAGGGUGCGAGCGUUGUCCGGAUUUAUUGGGUUUAAAGGGUGCGUAGGUGGCUGUUUAAGUCAGUGGUGAAAUACGGUUGCUCAACAAUCGAGGUGCCAUUGAUACUGAAUAGCUUGAAAUAAUUGGAGGCUGCCGGAAUGGAUGGUGUAGCGGUGAAAUGCAUAGAUAUCAUCCAGAACACCGAUUGCGAAGGCAGGUGGCUACGAUUUGUUUGACACUGAGGCACGAAAGCAUGGGGAGCAAACAGG